rnacentral:rRNA from 1 species
AGAGUUUGAUCCUGGCUCAGGACGAACGCUGGCGGCGUGCCUAAUACAUGCAAGUAGAACGCUGAAGAGAGGAGCUUGCUCUUCUUGGAUGAGUUGCGAACGGGUGAGUAACGCGUAGGUAACCUGCCUUGUAGCGGGGGAUAACUAUUGGAAACGAUAGCUAAUACCGCAUAACAAUGGGUGACCCAUGUCAUUCAUUUGAAAGGGGCAAAUGCUCCACUACAAGAUGGACCUGCGUUGUAUUAGCUAGUAGGUGAGGUAACGGCUCACCUAGGCGACGAUACAUAGCCGACCUGAGAGGGUGAUCGGCCACACUGGGACUGAGACACGGCCCAGACUCCUACGGGAGGCAGCAGUAGGGAAUCUUCGGCAAUGGGGGCAACCCUGACCGAGCAACGCCGCGUGAGUGAAGAAGGUUUUCGGAUCGUAAAGCUCUGUUGUAAGUCAAGAACGAGUGUGAGAGUGGAAAGUUCACACUGUGACGGUAGCUUACCAGAAAGGGACGGCUAACUACGUGCCAGCAGCCGCGGUAAUACGUAGGUCCCGAGCGUUGUCCGGAUUUAUUGGGCGUAAAGCGAGCGCAGGCGGUUUGAUAAGUCUGAAGUUAAAGGCUGUGGCUCAACCAUAGUUCGCUUUGGAAACUGUCAAACUUGAGUGCAGAAGGGGAGAGUGGAAUUCCAUGUGUAGCGGUGAAAUGCGUAGAUAUAUGGAGGAACACCGGUGGCGAAAGCGGCUCUCUGGUCUGUAACUGACGCUGAGGCUCGAAAGCGUGGGGAGCGAACAGGAUUAGAUACCCUGGUAGUCCACGCCGUAAACG